CCUACGGGUGACUGCAGUGAGGAAUAUUGGUCAAUGGACGCAAGUCUGAACCAGCCAUGCCGCGUGCAGGAAGAAGGCUCUAUGCGUUGUAAACUGCUUUUGUAAGAGGGUAAAAGCAGAUACGCGAGUCUGUCUGAGAGUAUCGGACGAAUAAGGAUCGGCUAACUCCGUGCCAGCAGCCGCGGUAAUACGGAGGAUUCAAGCGUUAUCCGGAUUUAUUGGGUUUAAAGGGUGCGUAGGCGGGCGGUUAAGUUAGAGGUUAAAUCCCGGGGCUCAACUUCGGAAUGGCCUUUGAUACUGGUCGUCUAGAGAGUAGGAGCGGUAGGCGGAAUGUGUAGUGUAGCGGUGAAAUGCUUAGAGAUCACGCAGAACACCGAUUGCGAAGGCAGCAUACCAGGCGACUUCUGACGUUGAGGCACGAAAGCGUGGGGAGCAAACAGGAUUAGAUACCCGAGUAGUC
rnacentral:rRNA from 1 species